UUUACUGGCGGGUAUUGUAUCCAUUAGGUUCAAAAAAUUUUUGAUUCCAAAUAUACUUAAAUUACAAUUUUUUACGUUCUCGUAUUACUGUUUUAUUAUACACAAACUUAUCUUUAUUAUUUUCAAACUUAGGGCAUUUUAGGCUUACAAGGUCACGUGGCUUUACAAUAAUUGCACAUUUAUCAGAUUUUGUGCAUUUUUAACUACCUAUCUUACACAUUUUCUUACACAAUUGUACUUGUGUAAGAAAAGUGUAAGAACUUUUACAAACAUUCAUGCAAACCUAUCAACAUCACAACACUAUUGUACCGUACAUCCCUUGAGUGGGUAUUUUUCAUAGACAUAUUAUGAAAGUGGGUACUUUAAAUUCCACCCCUU
rnacentral:lncRNA from 1 species